rnacentral:lncRNA from 1 species
GUUGAAUCAGAGCUGCACCUACCGGCCUAUGCCACAGUCAUAGCAACUUGGAAUCCUAGCCAUGUCUGCUACCUACCCCACAGCUCACAGCAAUGCCGGAUCCUUAAUUCACUGUGUGAGGCCAGGGAUCAAACCCACAUUCUCACGAACACUAUGCCAAGUCCUUAACCUGCUGAGUCACAACGGGAACUCCCAGAGUUGAAUUUCUUCCAAAAGCACUGGGAGAGGACACUCUCUUGCCUCUUCUAGGUGCCAGUGUCUCCAAGCAUCACAUGACCUGUGGCAGCUAACUCUCACCUCUGUGUCUGUCUUCAUGUGGCCUUUUCCUCUAUGUAUGCCUCUUCUUCUUAUGAUACUUGUCAUUGGCUUUGGGGGCCACUCAAUUAAUCCAAGACAAUCACAUCAUAGGAUCCCUCACUUAAUUAUAUGUCUAAAGACCAUUUGUCUCAUAAGGUCAUGUUGACAGAUCCCAGGGGUUGGUACUGGGACACAUCUUUCAGGGAUCACAGUUCAACCAAUGAUACCACUGACGAACUGAGUUUAUGUGUGCCGAAAGCCCACCAACAUCUCUGCAUGAGGACAAUGAGAAUCAGAGGGUGAGUUGUAAUUCAACUGAUUCUUACUGGAAUGAACGAAACCGGGAUGCUUAAAGAGAAAAAACAACAAAAAAAGUAGUGCUUGAAAAAUUUCCUCCUUCAGCAAAAUUAUUGUUCCAGUAGUUUUGGGCCCUAAACACUGGCUGAAAUAAUAAAAAAUUUUUCAAGGAAAAUGAGAUGAAUUUUAGGUUUAAUUCAAAUAUACUUAGAGCAAUGAACACCACCUUUUCUUCCUAUAGAUAGGUUCAUCAGGAGGCGCAGAGUCUUCAACAAACAUGCUGAGUCUGAGGUUCUAAAAUGCUUUGCUGGUCUAGCCCAGAAAAGAAACAAACCCUUCCAAAGGGAACAUUUACAAUAAAGUUUGAACACUGUUUUAUGUUUACUUAUAUAAUCAAUGUUAAUAAAAUUGCAUAUCAUUUUUCAUGUAUUGUGAUGGAUUAUGGUGUUUUUAUGGCAUAAACAGAUGCCCCGAGAAAGAAGUCUCAGUUUUUAACAUUGUACAUAGGGGAAAUGAGAGUCAACUAUUACCUAAAAACAAUUAGAUAACAGAUUUUGAGGCCCUUGUACUUUGCUCCGCAAUGAAACAAAAUAUGGAAACGUCCACCAGUCAGAGUACAAAGGUGACCUAUGAAUUUUUAGCAUAGUUAAUUGAUAUUUCUGUUUCUGGAGCCUUCCAUUAAAGGAGGAAACAAAACAUGUUCCUCCAACGUGCAACAAAUGCCUUUGGUUCCAGCUUUGAUGAUCUCAUUAUUCAUUGCCUACCAAUCACUAGCUCACAAAUUUCCCCUUUGCCUAGAGAAUAUGUUCACAUAUUCCUAACCUUUCUGUAUCCCAAUGCUUCUUCCAUAACAAAUUCACCUUGGGAACCCUUUGCAGGAAGCCCUUCUACUUGGACCCCCUCCUCUUACCAAUGAGUUUCCUUUCUUCCACCUUCUAUCAUGCUCCAUUGCUGGUUUUUGAAACAAACAAGCAAGUUUCUUGAGGACUGGCUAUAUUCAAAGAAGUCUGCAGUACAAAUAUGAACACAAGUUUAGCUUUCUCUCCUCAGUUAGGUUAAAGGCCUGAAGUAUAUCUUAAAUUUCCUCAUUUCCACAUUAAAGAACACUGAAAAGAAACUGCUCAAUAAGUACUGGCUCUUUAAUCCAAAAAUAAAUAAGACAUUAUUUGAACAUGUUCAAUGCAAAUUACAAUAGGUAUUUGAAAAUCAAGAACAUGUGAAUUGGGGGCAAUAAUUUCAGUACAAUUAACUGCUGCUUCAGAUAAGUUGCAUUGAAAGUUGUGCUUAAAUUACCAAUCACAACGGAUUAUGAACCCCAUAUGGUGUGUGUCUGCCUCUUGACCCAGAAACAGAAUUUCUCCAGUGAAACAGUGACUGUUGGGCAACAGUUAUGGUGAAGAUUCUAAAGAAAGGAGCUUAGAGUUUUGCGGCAACAGGGCUGACUGAGAGGUAUACUAGGUUCUAGCUCUCCCUUUUUAUCCUUAAAGCUUGGGAAUCCAGGAAGGAAGUUGGCUGUUUUGUUAAUUACUAUAUCCUUAGAUAUUAAUUACUAUAUCCAGUCCAUAGCAAAAACUCAUCUCUGACUCAGGAAGGUGAAAAUAGAGGAAGAUGGGUAGGAGGGGUGGGGAAUAAUUGUCUUGUCUAUGUGCAUCUUUUCCUGUAUUUUUUAAAAAAUAUAUAUAAAAUUAAUUCUUCCUGUUAUAGUUUCUAUGAUAUGCUAGUUACUGGGUAUGCAGAAAUUAAUAAAGUAGAAACCUUGCCAUUAUGGGAUUGUGGUGAUCAAAGUCUGGUUGGGAAGAACUACCAUUGGUAAUGCUUCAUAAUGGACAGUUACUAUAAUUGCCUCUUAACCUAGUCUCCUAGUCUCAUCUUUGACUUCCCCAGAACCCAUUUUAUAUACAGAAAAUAAAACUCUACCAUAAGAGUCAAACCCAGCAGAACCACGUUCUUCCUUCAAACCAUCAAUGGCCUUGCCAUUGCAAUUGUUUUUAAUUCUAAAUUCUUUAUCAUGGCCUAGGAGUUGCUACAUGAUCUGGGCCCUGCAGAUUUAUCUGACCUCAUUCAGAGUCUCUGCAGGAGAAACGACAGAAUCAGAGUCACAGAGGAUUUUGUACGCCAGUUAAAAAAAUAAAAAGAGCUGCCUGAUGGAUCCUGAAGAGCUAUGUAUUUCCAAAAGGCGUUUGGAAAACAGAUGACUUAAAACAAACAUUUAAAUGAAAACAUUUAAUGAAGAAAUGUGAGAGAGCUUGAAGUAGCUCUGACGGUCCUAGCCCAUACACAUUUUCUUCGAGAAUGUGCAGGGGUGACAGACAAAGGGUUCUGCAGACACAGGGGGUGGAGGGAGGAUUCUGGGUACUUCCAUGCAUAUUCAUUACACUCUAAUUUAUUACCAUGUUUACCACCAAAACUGCAGAGCCAAUUAUAUUCUAUCUCAGGCCCCCAGGGGGUUUUCAUCUUCCUGGUUUGGCCAAGCACCAAAACAAAGCACAUUCAGGAGAGGAAUUGCAGUUGGUAAACGUUAAUAUUUAACGGGACGGAGAAGUUGGUCUUCCUGAAAACACAGACUGCUCACUCUUCCAAUGAAAAAUUACGUCUAUUCUAGUCUUUCUGCCCUUGCAAUCUCUCCCGGCACAGAGAGGUUUCCCCCGGAUGAUCCAAUGAUAAAAACAAACGUGGAAAGACAUUUCUCACAGUGAAUUCCUGCUUCGAUGAGUCUACCUUUCACUCCUCCAGCAGGAAAACAAGACAGACCUCUCCCUGAUUCCGUGUUCUCUUCCUACUUCAGUGAAAUUAGUUUAGGAUAAAAUGAGAGAUGGUGAUGUCCUAAAAUGAAUCUUCCUUGAAAAUGAUUAGGCCAAUAUAUUAUAGGUAUGUUCUUCAGGAUGCUGAUUUCCUAAGUUAUCCUAAAAGAAAAAGAGUACUCUAUAGUCAAAAAAGUGUGCCGAAUGCUACAAAGACACAUCCCUCUUAGAAUUUCACAAUGUACCUUAGCUUUAAAAAAAACAUCUCUUAAAAGUCCUAGAAGUAGAGAAUCUUAAAUUUAACUUGCUUAACCUAGCAUUCUAAACUUGCUGAAUACAAUUGGACUCUUUUUCAUGUUAUGCUGACUGGCAAUUGAAGUACAGAUUGACAACCUGACUGAAACAUUUGAGAAGGGGAAAUGCGGGAUAACAGUCAAAAAAAGUUCAUGCUAAAUUCUUAACCAUGAAUGCUCAAAUUUUAAAUACUGAGUUUAUAAUUAAUACCUAAUGACACUAAUGUCAUCACGCUUGUAAAUACCCAAAACGCCAAAGCCUCUGUCCUUACCCUCAGGUUUAUAAAACUGCCAGAACAGAGGGGGACUAAGAAAACGUGGAUAUUAUUUACGGUGUAAAGUAUGCAUGUCCGCAAUUAAUGCAAAGAAUGUCAUCUGUAUUGCAGGGAAGGAUCAUGUACGUCCCACCUUCUGCAUAUUAUGGUCAUACAUACAGCAUCGCAGGGCCUAUCUGAGGGAAGUGGACUGAAAGGCUUGAGUUACAGCAGAGGAACACUGGUACUCAGUUAUUCAUCAUUCACAGACGAUGUAAACGCCACCCUCCCUCCCGCAAGGCCCUCCUUCCAAUUUACUUACGGAACAACGCCCACUUCUUACUAAAUGUGAGCACAUAAGAUGACUUUAAAGAGCUAGAGGAAGGACUGGAUGCCGCACUCUGUGCACACACAGUACAUCUAAGGCACUCCUGAGUCUCUGUGGUACAAAUACUUCUCAAGCAUAUGCCUCAAAAGCAGGGAAGACAAAACAUUAAAUUUUCGAAUUCCAAAAGUCUAAGGCUUUUUGUAAAAUACAAUUAUUUCCAGUUUUCAGACUACUUCAAAGUUUUCAGACUACUUCUCCAUGGGUAAAGUCAAUCCAUUUCAAUGGAUUUAUUACAAAGGUAUCAAAAUAGAAAGUGUAGAUAGUCUGAUUUUAUAAAUGAGCUCACAGGAUUGUGAAAAUGCAAAGGGCCACGUCGGUAUUUUGGAAAGAGUUGUCUUUAAAUUGUGCUGCAUCGAGUAGCCUCAGGUAGCUACUGUCUUAGAACAGGGAGUAGGGUGGUGAGCAGCGAGAGUUCAAGUUUCUUACCGCCAUUUCAGAGAGGGGCCCUCAGUUUUUAAAUCUUCCUCAUAUUAGGAGAUUUUAUGUGCCAUUAAAACAAAGUUUCUGGAGUUCUCUUGUGGCACAGUCAGUUAAGAAUCCAGCAUUCUCAAUGCAGCAGCUUGGGUCACAGCUGUAGCAUAGGCUAGGUCCCUGGACUGGGAAUUUUCAUAUGCUCCAGGGGCAGCUAAAAAAAUAACAAUAAUUUAAAAUAAAUAAAUGUUUCUAUUGUGAUGUAUUUUCCAACCAGUAGUUCCAAGUGUUUCCAGAUGAGGAAAAUUAAGUCGAGUGAAAUAAAGAUCUUUGUGCAAGGAGGUAAGAGUACUUCGCUGGGGAAUUCCCAAUGCAGCUCUGCAGGUUACGCAU